CUCAGGGCGGGGUGUCCCUUAGCCUGGAUUGCGAGAGGGUGCAGGCCAGGCCAAGGGACCCCACCAGUGCACA
rnacentral:pre_miRNA from 1 species